AAAACACCCCCCCCCCCCAAUCAAAACAUUUCUUUUUGACCUUUUUCAAAUUAAGUAUUUGGAUUUUUCUGUUUGAAAUUACUGGCAUUUAUAAUCAAAGAAAAGGAAAUUUUGAAACAAUCACAAACUUUUAAAAACAAAACAUUUCAAUUUUGUCAAAAAAUGUUCCACUCAACCUAAAGCAAUCUAAAAUACAAACUCAGAAUUGACAACAAACCACAAAAUCUAUUAUUCACAAAGCUAGAGGAGUUCAGAUAAGCUUAUGUGAGUGCAGCUUGUUACACACAGAUAAGUUAGCUCUUCAUCCUUCCAACUACAGCUAACUCUUUGCAGUAAUCUCCGUGGCCGCACGACAAAGUGCCAGUGGGAUGCUGUGCUGGAGAACUACUGUUACCCAGACGUACUGUCGUUAUUGCCGGUGAAGUACAAUAAAUCGUUGAUGAGCUACAAUACAGUAAAUGGAAUUCCUUCCUACCCUACCAUAACCUUUCAGUUUCCAAUGAGGCCUUAAAAGAGAGAGAGAAAACCAUGCCUUGGACAGACAUGGUAGGUGCCAAAAAUAUCUCAACAAACAAGUAGAAAAACAGUAAUCUAGCAUUUUAGAUUUAAGAUUGAUCAGAAUGCUGGUAUGACGGUGUCAUCAGGGCUGAUGGGUUUUAACUCAGCCUGAUGAGAACUUGUUGACAAUCAGUGAGUCUUUGUGAAUGACC
rnacentral:lncRNA from 1 species